AUAGGAUCAAUAAGACUGCGUCUUAGUCUGCCUGAAUGAUUGUGGCCAGUAUAAAAUCCUGAGGAAUGUCUACAGUUUUUCAAAAGGGUGCAAACAGGUUGAAGACAGGAGCUAUCUUUAAUGGAAUCUGAACAGUGCCUAACCCCUGUGGAUAUCAGCUGAAUGUUAAAUAACAACAGUGAUCAGAUAAGAAAGGCUGGAGCAGAAACAAGGCCUGUGCAUUUUAUGGCACUUCACAAGUGGUAUCUUUGAGAUAUGCCCUGCUGCCUAAUCUGGACACUGGCAAUAAGGUGGAAGCUAGUAGGAAUAACACACAUUGGCAGCCAGGGAUUUUGAAGGUAGCUGGAUUUUCAGAGUGGAUACA